CGGCCGUUGACUUUUAUCAGUGUAGUCCUGGAAUGACUCUUCUAUCACCCAAUCAGAUCUGUGCGACAGUGUAAGCAGAAGGGUAAAGACUUUUUGUUUGACACACACAUUGUUCUAGAAACAACAAAAAGAUGUUGAUCUAAGAACAUGUUCUGCUCUGAAAACCCCCACAAUCAGUGCUCACCGAUCAUCUCUGCCGAGGAAGUCUGUGUCCUACGUGAGCAGCUGACUCAGGAGCUGGACAAAGAUCGGCGAGCGAGGAGAAGAGCGGCGGAGCGACAUGUCAGGGCGUGUCCCAUCUGCGUAACACCGAGGAGCCUUUCGCCCGCAGCACACGCAGGGCCCAGACAGAAGACUCCUCUCUCGCUGCAUUUGUGUCAUAACUACAUGAGAAUAAACAAAAAGCAGACUGCUGUCUCAUGAUGAUGACCACACCUCAGACUAAUAAAAACCCUGAACGGUGCAGGGGUAGGCUAAUUGGGGCUGAGUUGCCAUGGUGUGAUUAUAACCGUGAAUGCUAAUAUCGGUGAGUCAGGAAUACUGUACAGUUGUAACAGACAGUUUCAGGUGGAUUAAGUAGAAACACAAACACACGUCCCUCAUGCUACGACAUCAAGCGUGAAACACAAAUAGAGUUUUAGGAGCAUGUCAAUAGGCAUACUUCUCCAUGACUUAACGUUUUCAUUAUGACACUGUUUUCAAACGGCUUUCCUUUGGAAACUGGAACAUCUGUUAAAAGGAUGAUCAGCAGUGACAGAAAUUGACUUUAUUAAAGGAAAAAAUUUACGUUCCAGAAUUGACUCUCAGGGCAUUGUUUCCUAAUUGAUCUGAUCACUCUCAGCUGUUACAUAUACAGUCCAG
ensembl:lncRNA